UCCUAGUGAUUCAGCUGGUAAAGAAUCUGCCUGCAGUGCAGGAUACUCAGGUUCAAACCCUGGAUCAGGAA
rnacentral:tRNA from 1 species